rnacentral:rRNA from 1 species
UACAUAGGGUCCGAGCGUUGUCCGGAAUUACUGGGCGUAAAGAGCUCGUGGGUGGUUUGUCGCGUUGUUCGUGAAAACUCACAGCUCAACUGUGGGCGUGCGGGCGAUACGGGCAGACUGGAGUACUGCAGGGGAGACUGGAAUUCCUGGUGUAGCGGUGGAAUGCGCAGAUAUCAGGAGGAACACCGGUGGCGAAGGCGGGUCUCUGGGCAGUAACUGACGCUGAGGAGCGAAAGCGUGGGGAGCGAACAGG